rnacentral:rRNA from 1 species
CCUACGGGAGGCUGCAGUAGGGAAUCUUGCUCAAUGGGGGAAACCCUGAAGCAGCAACGCCGCGUGGAGGAUGAAGGUUUUCGGAUUGUAAACUCCUUUUGUUAGAGAAGAUAAUGACGGUAUCUAACGAAUAAGCACCGGCUAACUCCGUGCCAGCAGCCGCGGUAAUACGGAGGGUGCAAGCGUGACUCGGAAUCACUGUGCGUAAAGAGCGCGUAGGCGGGAUAGCAAGUCAGAUGUGAAAUCCUAUGGCUUAACCAUAGAAAUGCAUUUGAAACUGUUAGUCUAGAGUAUGGGAGAGGUAGGUGGAAUUCUUGGUGUAGGGGUAAAAGCCGUAGAGAUAAAGAGGAAGACUCAUUGCGAAGGCGACCUGCUAGAACAUAACUGACGCUGAGGCGCGAAAGCGUGGGGAGCAAACCGGAUUAGAUACCCUGGUAGUC